rnacentral:rRNA from 1 species
GAUGAACGCUGGCGGCAGGCCUAAUACAUGCAAGUCGGACGGGAUUCAGGAGCUUGCUUCUGAUGAGAGUGGCGCACGGGUGCGUAACACGUAUGUAACCUACCUUUAUCAGGGGGAUAGCCUCUCGAAAGAGAGAUUAAGCCCGCAUAAAAUCACAGCACAGCAUUGUGUAAUGAUCAAAUAUUUAUAGGAUAAAGAUGGGCAUGCGGAACAUUAGCUAGAUGGCGGGGUAACGGCCCACCAUGGCGACGAUGUUUAGGGGAUCUGAGAGGAUGGCCCCCCACACUGGUACUGAGACACGGACCAGACUCCUACGGGAGGCAGCAGUAAGGAAUAUUGGUCAAUGGGCGGAAGCCUGAACCAGCCAUGCCGCGUGCAGGAAGACGGCCCUACGGGUUGUAAACUGCUUUUAUACGGGAAUAAACCCAGAUACGUGUAUCUGGCUGAAUGUACUGUAAGAAUAAGGAUCGGCUAACUCCGUG